GUUUGCAUGAAGAGCAGGUGGGGAGGGCGCAGUGAGCCUGGUUACCCCGGGUGCCUUGCUGGAUUUCAGCCACCAGAUGUCAGCAGAUGCCUGCAAAACCUCCAAAAAUCACCAGCUUUCCAGAGGGACUGAAUGAAAUCCCGCAAAAUGCUUUUAAAAUCUCCCGGUAAAUAGGCAGAAGGGAAGGUUUUUACUUGGUACUUCAGCAACAGAGGAUGAGUUUGGCUCUGCUGAGGAGGAGGAAUCCUCAAUUCCCUUGCAGAUUGUUGCAGGCACGGAAGAAGAUGCAGAACACUUACCCUUUCGGAUAGGACUGGAGCAGGGCUGGAGGCGUGCUGGAGAUUGGAUCUCCCGCUCCGUAACUUCACACCGGGCAGAAGCACACCAAUUCCACAGAGAGAGGUGCCGAGGGAGGCUGCUGCCCAGCUUCUCCCAUGCGGCCGUGCCUCAGUUUCCCCACCCGCUGGCUUUUUGGGACAAGAGCAGGCUUUGUGGUUGUGAAGAAGGAAGAAAAGGAAUGGCAAUGUGAAAUAUGUGAAAUAAACGCAAUUCCUGCUGUUGAUCCUGUCAGCUGGGAUGUUUGACAUCUUCUCUGAAGAGAAGUCUUGAAAAGCGUGUAAUACCCAAGUCUUUUUGCUAUCACAAAUGAUUUUAGCCCACUUGCGGGAUCCUUUAGCAUGCAUGGAAGAAGCAACUGUGGUGCUACAAUCCUGGUUCAAUUUCCCAGAAAGUUACUGUUCCUCCUGUAGAAGCCCUUAUCAGCCCUAAGAAAGGAUUGAAGAUGAUGCUAAAACUCUGUCCUGUUGCUGGCUAUCCCUGGCCAGGCUCUCUGUGUCCCCUAGAGGGGCCUCACUUGCUCAGGUGCCUUGCCAAGAGCAUCCCUGCUGCCCUUGCCCACCCCAUGGCUUCUUUGGGAGCAGGGGGAAAUGGCUGGAGGGUGAUCCCUGAUUUCUUUCAGCAUUAAGAACGACUUCCAGCUUCUAAGCCAGCCACCUGUUUAUGAAACAUUUUGGAAAAGUGUAUGUUUGAGACCGCUAAUUGUCCAACUAACUUCAUCGGAACUGGCUGAUAUGUUAAAACCUUGCUUUGACCUGUCAUCCACUUCUGGAGUGCUUAAAAUAAAGUGCACAGAUACAGAGUAAGCUGAAACAGUCAAGAAGCAAUAUAAUACAAAAAUGUUUCGAGUAAAGUGUGUUACUCAGAUCUUUCUAAAGUACAUUUCUCCCUUUAUUCUGAAGGCCACAGCACAGACAACUCUGACUAAUGCAAGUAAUGGAACCAAUCUCUUCCUUUGAUCAUCAAAAAGGUUAUCUUUUUUGUAAACUAGGUCCAACUAGUUUUGCAAUCUGGUUGGAGCAAACAUGAAAGAAAAAGGUUUAAUUAUCUUUCAGUAAAGCCUUAUUUCUUUUCUUUUAGCAAAAUGAUUGGCUAAGGCAGCAUCAGUUUGCGACUGUCGCUGUGCGUGUGACACGUAGUGUGCGAGAUGCAUGUAAUGCAUGGCAUUUGUGUGCAUCUUGUGUCUCAUCAUCAGAUGAUUUAACAAUUUGUGCAUCAAAACCAGGAGGAAAAACUAAGCCAGGACAUUGAGACUUGCCCUAAGUGACGUGUAAAAUCUAGUGUCUAGAAGAGAUUGAUCUUUUAACGGAAGGCUGAAUCAUAUUUGAAAACGCUUAGUGCUGAGUUUGUAAAUAGACCCAGAUUUUCAAUGGAACUAGUCAAAAUAUAAAUACAGAAGAGUGGAGAUGCUUGCUGGAGAUGUAGAGAAGAGAGAAAGCUGCUCAUUCACUCUAUUUAUAUACAAGUAUUUCCUGUGUAUACAUCAAGAUGGAUCAAACAUAGCUUUAAGAGUUAGAAAAUCGGUAUUCUUAUUCCACUGGCUAGCUAGGUCGGGUGUUUUUUAUGGUUUGAUAUGGGAGUUACUGGAUGAAACUCUGGCUUGUGUGAUUCAGGAGGUCAGGCUGGGUGGCCAUAAUAGCUUUCUCUGACCUCAAAGUGCAUCAUUUGUGUGCUUUUUAAGACUUCAGAAUGAGACACUUUAAAGUUGGAAACUAAAGAAUGGAAUUGAAAAAAAAAAAUCAAAGCACCUGCGUCAUUUAGAUUUAUGUGCUCCAUUAAAUUUUAUAGAAGUUAUGCCUGACUUUUGCCAGCCUGAGAUCAGACUUGGGAUUAUAUAUUCAAAGUAUUCCUUUAAGUAGAAAAAGCAUACGAGGUUUUUGUGAGGUAUUUGGAGCUACAGGAAGAGUAUGGCAAAUAAUCGGAGGAAAAACACAAAGAACAGUAGGAAUACAAUGGGAGUUAAAUAAAGGUUGAAUGGAUAAGAAAGGGACAAGGAGGAUUAUCCUGCCCUGAUGGUUAAAAGCAAGGAUGUGCAAGGUGCAUAUGCCACGAGACAAUGGAAACAAGGGAGAUUCUGAAUCGUUAGUGCAAAAAGGUGAAUCAAAACGUUGAGUUGUGCAGAUGAUUGUUACACAGCCUGAAUGAAAGGAAAUAAAUGAGCAUUAAUGUGCCAAAGGCAACAGCAAAGCUGGGGUAACAGCAUCGAGAAUGGAUUUUUUGAGAGCAAAGGAUUAAUGGAGAUCCCAAAGUACAGAUGGUCAUGGAUGAAAUAAUCACCUUCGCCUCAAGGGAGUAAGCAAUGCCCAUGGGUCGGACACACGAUGAGGAAGAAUUGGUAUGUAAACCAAAUGAAGAGAAGAUUAAUUGAAAGCAGGUCCCUGGGAAACUUCCAAAUCUCCCUCCCAAUUUCUGUGUUCUGGAGUAGUACAAAUAUGCUGAUGAAGUUGCAUACAGAUUUCAGAUAAUUAAACAGUUCCAACAGAUUCUAGCUCCUAGUAAGGGUCACUGCUCUGGGGGACCUAACCUGU